UUAAAGAUGUACCGGAUGACAAAAGAAUUAGCACAAAAUAUCAUUGACUUGGUGGACCCCUACAUUGUACCACAAACGAGGUGCUCUGCAUUGGACACAUCAGUAAAAGUCUUAACAGCACUUAGAUUUUUUGCUUCGGGCAGCUACCAGCUUGACAUUGGUAAAAAUGUGAAUAGUGCUGUCAGUCAGGCUUCCACAAGUCGGUGCAUCAAUGAAGUCGUUGAGGCUCUAAAUCAACCCCAAAUUUUUGAUGAGUGGGUUAAAUUUCCCCAAAAUUUUAGAGAACUUAAUAAUAUACGAAAUGAGUUUUAUCAGCGAUACCAGUUUCCGGGGGUCAUUGGUUGUGUAGAUUGCACACAUGUUGCAAUUGUAGCUCCAAAAUCAAAUGAC